AGACAUCGCUGCGGCCGGGAUAGGGCGCCGCCGUUCUGGCCGGCUUUCUCGGUGCCCUGGAGGACCUGGCCGGCUCCGCGGGAAGCUGUACUCAGAGCGCGCGGCCGCCCUCUGGCAGGGAGGAGUUCGUUGCACUUUUGAGGGUUCUUCACGAAGACAUCCAAUACAUAGAAAACAAGUAACAGCAACAGUAACGAAUUUUUAAAUAUUAAAAUUGCUGGGGAACACGACGGAUCCUGCAGCUGCUCGGCUGUCCCGGUCGUCAGUGACGCUAGGGCUCCGCACCGUACCCUGCAUACCGUAGGUGCUCACGAAACGUUCGUGAGUUCCCUGCUCUGAGGAAACAAGCUUAAAAACUCAGAAUCUAAGGUGUGAGUCUCCGCAAACCUGCUUGUUGGGCAGCGUCCCCCGCCCGGGCUAGCCCUGCACGCCCCACCCCGGAGCCACGCUUCUCCAGCCGGGACCCCUGCCUCCUUCCAGGCUAUUCUCGGAACCGCAGCCAGAGGGAAUUUUUUUUUCCUUUCCUGAAACGUAGAGCAGAUCUGGUUACUCUUCUGCACAACGCCCUAAAAUCUAGGGCCCUUCCCAUCCCUCAGAAUUUACAUCUAAUUCUCAGCUCCCCUCCGGCUUGCUGUAGCCAUCCUGGCUUUUGUUUAGCACAGCACUUACUGUUAGUGACAUUAUAUUGUAUAUUAUUAACAUAUUUGUGUUUUACAUCCCUCACUAGACCCCCAGGAAAGAGGCUUUGAUGUGUUGCCUGCUGCAAGGCUGGCUGCAUAAUUUGUGGAGCUCAGAGAAAAGUGCGGAGCUUCCUUGUUCAAAAAACAGAAAGAAAGUGCCUCUGAGGUCAUAAAAUAUAAAACUUUCUCUUUCCUCUCAGUUUCUCUCUUUUCAUAGUGUUUUUAUGUGUUAUUUAAUAUCAUUCCAAGAAAAAUUUAGAUUUAAAUUGUUAGCAUGAAGUUCACCAUCCAUCUUUACGUUGUGCAAUGCCAGUUUUAAAUACUAAUAUAAGUGCACUGAUCUCAUAUGUGGAAUCACAGAAAUUAUGCAAUUUGUACUUCAUAGCUUAUACAUGCAUAUAGAUUUUGUUUUUACCAGAACCACGCUGGUAAAAACAGAUGCUGCACAAAGUGAACUUGCCCGUUUUCAUCGCACUUUACGUGCACGAAUUCUACCUCUACUCUCGACCUGGGACUCACCGAUGCGUAAGGAAGGACUGAAAAGCAAAAGAACUAUGGACUGGCCUUUUGGCAUGAUCAGGUGUCUAAUAUAAAGAAGUGCAUGAAUAAGAAAAUAUAUGAUAUGAGUGAUGGUUAAUACUGACUGUCAACUUGAUUGGAUUGAAGGAUGCAAAGUAUUGAUCCUGGGUGUGUCUGUGAGGGUGUUGCCAAAGGAGAUUAACAUUUGAGUCAGUGGGCUGGGAAAGUUCGACCCACUGUUAAUCUAGAUGGACACCAUCUAAUCAGAUGCCAGUGCAGCUAGAAAUGUAAAGCAGACAGAAAAAUGCGAAAAGAGAGACUGGCCUAGCCUGCCAGCCUACAUCUUUCUCCCACGCUGGAUGCUUCCUGCCCUCGAACAUCAGACUCCAAGUUCUUCAGUUUGGGACUUGGACUGGCUCUCCUUGUUCCUCAGCUUGAAGACUGCCCAUUGUGGGACUUGUGAUCAUGAGGCUCAGGAGCUCAAUAGGAAGUGCUGAAGCUUGGCCACAGAGAUGUAGAGAUGUGUCUGACCUGGAAGAGUUGGUGGGAAGGGGAUAGAAGACAAACUGCCGAAGGAUAGAGUGAUUCCUGAGAGAAAAAUCACAUGAUCAGCAGAGCCUGCAAAGAAAGAUCCUCUGGCUGAAUUGAUGGAUAACAGCUGUGUGCUUUAUAAAACAGCAAAUCACCAGGACACCCAUCUUGGAGACUGUUGUGACACUCAGAACAGGGGCUGUUGAGCUGCUGAUACCGGAAAGCAAAUCGUGCCUUAUCAUAGAGCAGACCUGCUGGACAGAGAUGGAGCGGUCACUUGGUCCAGUGUUGUAAUUGUUCAGUGCAGACGCCGAAGCCCAGCAUGCUGAGGUCAUACAGGUAUCUGGUACUGAAACCGGAAUUGGAACAAUGUCCUGCCCUGCGUUUGUCACUUCAAUGCCCCCCAGUUUUCCUGGACAAAGGUUUGCAUGAAUAGGAGCUGAGGGAGGUAAGGAGGAAGGCAGAGAAGCUGCUGCACUGAACAGAAGUCAGGGUGCUGUGCCUCUGCGUGUGUUCCUGCAGCAGGACCCAGCAACCGAGGCCAAGGAGGCUCCCAAACUUCUCCAGUGUCUUUCCCAAGCUUCUGCUCUUCUUUCUCUUUUCAGCUAACCUCCAGGCUCUCUAUCUUUUUGUCCUUAGGCUAUAGUCUCUGAUUAAGAUAUACUCGCUUCCCGCUUAAUGGAACUCAUCACAUCAGGUCCUACCUGUCCCCAGAACUCCCUUUUCAAUUACAGAAAACGGCCCGCUGAUCUUGGAAAGGGCUGGCAGGCGAGGGACCCUCCUCAGACUCAUUGAUUCUUUUGGUCCUGCUUUUCCAAAACUGCUCCCAUUUCUGUCUCUGCCUUCUGUCUCUGUCAAACAACCACUGUCAACAGUUCUUUAAACCAAAAAUCAUUGCUCAGGAAGCAAAUUUGUUUGCGGGAAGAAUGACAGUCUGUCGCCGUGCAGAGGGUGGCGUUCAUGACGGUGCUUGAAGGAGUUCACAGGUUAGGCCAGACAAAGCCCAGCGCGUUCAUCAGGCAGCUUGAGCACGGGUUGUCUUUCGCCUUCUUGCUGGUUUGACAUCGUGGGUAAAACCUGGUCAUUUUUCCAGAAGGAUUCUGAAGAGAUUGUGUAAAUUGAAGAAAUGGCUUGCUCUUGUUAGGAAAGCAAAGCCAACUUUUGAGAUAUUCAGGGAAUGUGAGGUCUAGUGGACUCUUUUACUGCCAAGUUUCUUAUCAUGAGAAACCGCUCUCAGCUCCUUAGUGGAAGGAAAUGAAAUGUAUGCAAAGCAUUAUCGGCUUACUCAGAUAACUGCACCAGCGUAAACCAGGUUGUGACUAAUUUGCAAACUUAGUGCAGGGAAGGUCCUUAGACGUGAUUCUGGAAUUGCCAACCCUAUGAGCUUCCACAGAUGCUAUGGGCCACUUUUAGAGCCCACGGAUUCAGCAUGUGGCUGUUGGGAACAGGCUUUGCUAUGAAAAUCAGUGAUGGCUUAUAAUGCCUCUAACUGCCAUAUAUGUUUUCACAGGAUUAUUAUUUAUGAUCUCAAUUAAUAUUUCCAUCUGAUUAGCAGUGAAACAAACCAGGAUGUGAGGAAAUGGGAACUUAAUUAAAGGUUGCUGCCCAGUCAGGGUGGCAUUCCAGAUCAUGGAUCCUGUUAUGUAGGAGGGACGCCCAAAUUCGCCCUGAGCAUGCCUCCCUUCCUCUUCUCAUGCAGCCUCUAACUCGGGGUGUCUCUUGCAAUGCCACUUAGAAUAGUUUCGCCGAAGAUGUAGGUGAUUAAUCAAGGCCCCGGGUGUCACAAUGGCCCAUUGUCCCAGAAGGCAUUCCUUUGGCCGGCUUCUGACCUUUUCUCUUGGGGCAAGUGUGCAUUUUCCCAAACUCUUAAUGGACAAGAACUCACAGACAAUGGCCCUGCAUGUAACUUUCAUUUGCAGGAUGGAACAGAGAAUGUUCGGGUUGCUGGAAGGAGGGAAAAGGGCAUGCAUUAACUCAAUCUUUGUAUUCUCAUCAAAAAACAGACACGUAUUUUGAAGAGGACAGCUUUCCACUCGGUUUUUUAUAUUUAAAAGAAUCAAUUGUUCAUAAGCCCAUCGUGAUAAUAUUAAAGGAAAUUAAAAUAAAAGACUCACUCACAGUCCUA
rnacentral:lncRNA from 1 species